rnacentral:rRNA from 1 species
CGCGGGCCUAUCAGCUUGUUGGCGGGGUAACGGCCCACCAAGGCGACGACGGGUAGCUGGCGUGAGAGCGUGGCCAGCCACACUGGGACUGAGACACGGCCCAGACUCCUACGGGAGGCAGCAGUGGGGAAUCUUGCACAAUGGGCGAAAGCCUGAUGCAGCGACGCCGCGUGAGGGACGAAGGCCCUCGGGUUGUAAACCUCUUUCGGCAGGGAAGAAGCGAAAGUGACGGUACCUGCAGAAGAAGCCCCGGCUAACUACGUGCCAGCAGCCGCGGUAAGACGUAGGGGGCGAGCGUUGUCCGGAUUUAUUGGGCGUAAAGCGCGCGUAGGCGGUCCGUUAAGUCGGUUGUGAAAACCCGGGGCUCAACCCCGGGCCUGCAUCCGAUACUGGCGGACUCGAGGCAGGUAGGGGAGAGUGGAAUUCCCGGUGUAGCGGUGAAAUGCGCAGAUAUCGGGAGGAACACCGGUGGCGAAGGCGGCUCUCUGGGCCUGUCCUGACGCUGAGGCGCGAAAGCUAGGGGAGCAAACAGGAUUAGAUACCCUGGUAGUCCUAGCCGUAAACGUUGGGUGCUAGGUGUGGGAUGGCGAUUGACCCGUUCCGUGCCGAAGCUAACGCAUUAAGCACCCCGCCUGGGGAGUACGG